AUUGAACGCUGGCGGCAGGCCUAACACAUGCAAGUCGAACGUCUGUCGGACUUCUGAGUAAUUUCUGGGCAUCUUCCUGAUGGUGGGUGAUAACUACUGGAAACGGUAGCUAAUACCGCAUUCCAUCCGAUGUUCCCAGAUCGGAUUAGCUAGUAGGUGGGGUAAAGGCUCACCUAGGCGACGCUCCCUAUCUGGUCUGAGAGGAGGACCAGCCACACUGGAACUGAGACACGGUCCAGACUCCUACGGGAGGCAGCAUGGGGGAAUAGUGCACAAUGGGCGCAAGCCUGAUGCAGCCAUGCCGCGGGUAUGAAGAAGGCCUUCGGGUUGUAAAGUACUUUCAGCGGGGAGGCGGUAACGGAAGAAGAAGCAACGGCUAACUCCGUGCCAGCAGCCGCGGUAAUAG
rnacentral:rRNA from 1 species